rnacentral:pre_miRNA from 7 species
UUUUCAGUAAAGUGACAGGGUGUUAGUGAAAGACCCCCAAAGAGGGGAGACCCUCACUCAAGUCUCAGGAUGACGUGACCCCCCAAGAACUCAUGAGAGACC